rnacentral:rRNA from 1 species
AUUGAACGCUGGCGGCAUGCCUUACACAUGCAAGUCGAACGGUAACAGGUCUUCGGAUGCUGACGAGUGGCGAACGGGUGAGUAAUGCAUCGGAACGUGCCCGAUCGUGGGGGAUAACGAGGCGAAAGCUUUGCUAAUACCGCAUACGAUCUACGGAUGAAAGCGGGGGAUCUUCGGACCUCGCGCGGACGGAGCGGCCGAUGGCAGAUUAGGUAGUUGGUGGGAUAAAAGCUUACCAAGCCGACGAUCUGUAGCUGGUCUGAGAGGAUGAUCAGCCACACUGGGACUGAGACACGGCCCAGACUCCUACGGGAGGCAGCAGUGGGGAAUUUUGGACAAUGGGCGAAAGCCUGAUCCAGCCAUGCCGCGUGCAGGAUGAAGGCCUUCGGGUUGUAAACUGCUUUUGUACGGAACGAAAAGCCUCUUUCUAAUAAAGAGGGGUCAUGACGGUACCGUAAGAAUAAGCACCGGCUAACUACGUG